rnacentral:sRNA from 1 species
GCUGGGUGUGGUGGCACACGUGUGUAAUCCCAGCAGCUCAGGAGGCUGAGGCAGGGGGAUCGUGAGUUUACAGCCAGCUUCAGCAACGGUGAGGCACUAAGCAACUCAGUGAGACCCUGUCUCUA